GAUGAACGCUGGCGGCGUGCCUAAUACAUGCAAGUCGAGCGAACGGACGAGAAGCUUGCUUCUCUGAUGUUAGCGGCGGACGGGUGAGUAACACGUGGAUAACCUACCUAUAAGACUGGGAUAACUUCGGGAAACCGGAGCUAAUACCGGAUAAUAUUUUGAACCGCAUGGUUCAAAAGUGAAAGACGGUCUUGCUGUCACUUAUAGAUGGAUCCGCGCUGCAUUAGCUAGUUGGUAAGGUAACGGCUUACCAAGGCAACGAUGCAUAGCGACCUGAGAGGGUGAUCGGCCACACUGGAACUGAGACACGGUCCAGACUCCUACGGGAGGCAGCAGUAGGGAAUCUUCCGCAAUGGGCGAAAGCCUGACGGAGCAACGCCGCGUGAGUGAUGAAGGUCUUCGGAUCGUAAAACUCUGUUAUUAGGGAAGAACAUAUGUGUAAGUAACUGUGCACAUCUUGACGGUACCUAAUCAGAAAGCCACGGCUAACUACGUG
rnacentral:rRNA from 1 species